rnacentral:lncRNA from 1 species
AACGGGGAUGCUGUGAGCAGACCCCUUUUUUAUAGGGGAAUAAGAGGAAGAGACCUAUUGUCCAAAUCUGCCGAAAUGGAAGUGGAGCAGAUCCAGAAUCCUAUGGACCUGCCUUUCCACAGACCCAUGACAAGAUCCUUCACACUCUCUCCUCUCCAAGAGCACUGGCACUCAAAUCAGAAUAGUUCCAAGACCCUAACUGUACACGGCUGUAUCAAAUAAGGAACGACUCUCCAAUCUUUUCUUUUUUUAAACCACAUCUUUAGAAAAAAAGACCAAAUUCUGUUUUGUAAAGGGCAGUGCUCUGUUCUGAAGUGCAAUGAGUGGACAGACUCCUUGUGGAAGACAUUUUCUAUGGGAACAGCUGAUUGGNGCAAGUCCAGCAUAAAAGGCAAAGGAUCUCAACAGUUGAGAUAAAGGAUGACUUGAGUUUGCUUGGUUAGGAUCUAGAAAGAAUACAAACCAUUUGCAAUGUGACACUGCAGCUGAGCAGUGAAGAUCUGGAAGCAAAUGCUUGUGGACAAUGGACUAUAAAAAAAGGAUGGUGCUUGGCAAAAUUGAGGGAAGCAGAAAAAAUGAAUAAAGAUAAUGAAUAAGGUGGAUAAAUGGUGUUC